UUGCGGCUUGUUUCUGGUUGAUGCUAGAAGACAAGAAAACACAGCACUAAAGCAACCUGCAAAAAAGUCCGAGCCGGAGGAUUGUGCUCCGGCGAGGAUCCUCCGAUGGUCAAGUCAGAACAUGCAAACAGAAAAGCAGAGUUUUAGCUCUCUCAAAUGGAUUACUUAUCUGGAUCCUCAAGGUUUGAGUAUUUAUAGAGAAGC
rnacentral:lncRNA from 1 species